rnacentral:rRNA from 1 species
AGUGAACGCUGGCGGUAGUCCUAACACAUGCAAGUCUAACGGCAGCACAGUAAGAGCUUGCUCUUACUGGUGGCGAGUUGCGGACGGGUGAGGAAUACAUCGGAAUCUACUUUUUCGUGGGGGAUAACGUAGGAACACUUACACUAAUACCACAUACGACCUACGGGUGAAAGCAGGGGAUCUUCCUACCUUACGCGAUUGAAUGAGCCGAUUUCGGAUUAGCUAGUUGGCGGGGUAAAGGCCCACCAAGGCGACGAUCCGUAGCUGGUCUGAGAGGAUGAUCAGCCACACUGGAACUGAGACACGGUCCAGACUCCUACGGGAGGCAGCAGUGGGGAAUAUUGGACAAUGGGCGCAAGCCUGAUCCAGCCAUACCGCGUGGGUGAAGAAGGCCUUCGGGCUGUAAAGCCCUUUUGCUGGGAAAGAAAAGCAGCAGGUUAAUACCCCGCUGUUCUGACGGUACCCAAAGAAUAAGCACCGGCUAACUUCGUG